GGCUGUGGAUGAAAGUACAGCUCAGCUGUUACAAGGGACCCCAGCAGUUUUGAAGAUACCAGUGCCAUAGGAUGACCACGGAGAAGAGCAGCCACAGUGGAAUGGAGCUGGUUUGAGGCUAGAAGACAAGCUGUGUGUCCAGCAGAGGACAGAGAAGUGACCCGUACUCCUUGGAGGAGCCCACAAAAUCAUAAAUGGUGGUGCAGGUGGGAGAGAUGCUUUGUAUAAGCGAAGUCCAGCAUGGAGCUCAUGUGUUUGCACACUCAGUACCCAUUUGUGCAACUUGAAGAGGUGGAACUUUGUGGGUGAGAUCUCUGAGUCCAUUGAAGGAUCUAUGGGGCCA